rnacentral:tRNA from 1 species
GGGGCCGUAGCUCAAUGGUUAGAGCAGGGGACUCAUAAUCCCUCGGCUGCGGGUUCGAUCCCCGCCGGCCCCA